AGCGUUACUAUGGCAACCCUGACAGGUUUGUGAGCAGCCCCCGGUCCCCUGCCGCUCCGUGAGAAAUCAAACUUCAGGCACUGACGAAGCAUGAAGCCAGCAUCUUAGGAAGAGGUAGUGACAUAAUUACAAGAGAAAUUAAUGUUAUGACUGGAUGAAGACAAUUGUGAAGAAACUGCACUUUGAGGUUGUCUAUCUCUGUAUUCUGAUGGAAAAGCGUGGAGUUUAGAAGCACUGCUCACUCCUUCAGUUUCUAACAAGUUUGAGACUAUGGUUAGGUGGUGAGGAAGGCAGGCUCAGCACCCAAGCCUUGGGGAGACGCAGAAAGGGCCCAUCCCAGGCACUCAGGUGGAGUAAAACUGAUGCUCCAGAAAGAUGCCCAGGGAGAUUCUGUCCUGCUGCGUCCGCACUGUACAGAACUGACGCUGUGCCUACGCCCGUUUCAGAAGCGUGGAGUACUUAAGAGUUAAUCUAAAAAAGCAAAUAUAAAAAUGGAUUCAAAAAAA
ensembl:lncRNA LINC02848 long intergenic non-protein coding RNA 2848